AUACUUACCCUAAUUGGGUCAAUAGGCAAUCAUGAAGGCCCAUGGCUUAAUAGGCUAUUAUGAAGGCCCAUGGCUUAGAUCGGUGACCUCCGUCACAUUUUGGAGGGGUGUCCAACUAAGAUGGCUCAAGUUGUCGAGUCUAUGUCACAAUUUAUGAUAGCAGAGGACUUGCGCUUGCGCGGCACCCAC
rnacentral:snRNA from 17 species